rnacentral:rRNA from 1 species
UACGUAGGGUGCAAGCGUUAAUCGGAAUUACUGGGCGUAAAGCGUGCGCAGGCGGUUUUGUAAGACAGAGGUGAAAUCCCCGGGCUCAACCUGGGAACUGCCUUUGUGACUGCAAGGCUUGAGUGCGGGCAGAGGGGGAUGGAAUUCCGCGUGUAGCAGUGAAAUGCGUAGAUAUGCGGAGGAACACCGAUGGCGAAGGCAAUCCCCUGGGCCUGCACUGACGCUAAGGCGCGAAAGCGUGGGGGAGCAAACAGG